rnacentral:rRNA from 1 species
GACGAACGCUGGCGGCGUGCUUAACACAUGCAAGUCGAACGGAAAGGCCCUGCUUUUGUGGGGUGCUCGAGUGGCGAACGGGUGAGUAACACGUGAGUAACCUGCCCUUGACUUUGGGAUAACUUCAGGAAACUGGGGCUAAUACCGGAUAUGAGCUCCUGCUGCAUGGUGGGGGUUGGAAAGUUUCGGCGGUUGGGGAUGGACUCGCGGCUUAUCAGCUUGUUGGUGGGGUAGUGGCUUACCAAGGCUUUGACGGGUAGCCGGCCUGAGAGGGUGACCGGCCACAUUGGGACUGAGAUACGGACCAGACUCCUACGGGAGGCAGCAGUGGGGAAUAUUGCACAAUGGGCGGAAGCCUGAUGCAGCAACGCCGCGUGCGGGAUGACGGCCUUCGGGUUGUAAACCGCUUUCGCCUGUGACGAAGCGUGAGUGACGGUAAUGGGUAAAGAAGCACCGGCUAACUACGUG